rnacentral:rRNA from 1 species
GACGAACGCUGGCGGCGUGGAUUAGGCAUGCAAGUCGAACGGUAGUGGCCUUUCGGGGUCAUGAGAGUGGCGAACGGGUGAGUAACGCGUAGGUGAUCUACCUUCAAGUGGGGGACAACCCAGGGAAACUUGGGCUAAUACCGCAUGUGCCUGCAAAGGUAAAGCCGGCCUCUGAAUAUGCUGGUGCUUGGAGCUGAGCCUGCGUCUGAUUAGCUAGUUGGUGGGGUAACGGCCUACCUAGGCGAUGAUAAGUAGGCGGCUUUAACGAGUGGUCGCCCACACUGGGAUUGAGAUACGGCCCAGACUCCUACGGGAGGCUG